CUGCGGAAGGAUCAUUAACGAAAGCUCGAGCGAGGUUGUAGCUGGCUCACCCUCUCCGGGGGAGCAACGUGCACGCUUCGUCUUCGUCUUCUUCAUCUCUCACCCCUGUGCACCUCCGCGUGGGUCCCGUUAGUUCGGGCCCACGUCCUUUUUCCAUGAAAAACACGCAUGUCAUAAGAACGUCUUACUUCGCCUUUAGAAGCGAAACCAGUACAACUUUCAACAACGGAUCUCUUGGCUCUCGCAUCGAUGAAGAACGCAGCGAAAUGCGAUAAGUAAUGUGAAUUGCAGAAUUCAGUGAAUCAUCGAAUCUUUGAACGCACCUUGCGCCCCUUGGUAUUCCGAGGGGCACGCCUGUUUGAGUAUCGUGAAAUUCUCAACCCUCACCCCUUUUCGGAGUCGGUGAAGGGCUUGGACUUUGGAGGUCUUGCCGGGUCCCUUGGUGGAAUCGGCUCCUCUCGAAUGCAUUAGCGGGGCUCGCUCGUCCUCUAUCGGACUGCCCUUUGGUGUGAUAAUUCAUCAGCACCGAUCGGGCGUUCGUGACUUUAGAAGGAUGGCCUCUGCUUCCAACCGUCUCGUUUCAGAGACCAAGCGCCGUUUCGACGACGAAACCUUUUGAUCUCAAAUCAGGCGGGACUACC
rnacentral:rRNA from 1 species